GUAAAGAGAAGAAGUUCCACGAAGCUAUUGGUGCUAAAUUUAGGAAGCACAAGUCUUGGUUAGUUUCACGAUUCAUUACUAAGGAAAGUGCACCUCCGCCUGACUCACCUAGUGCAAACAUUAAGCCCCGGGAGCUUUAUGAAGGUUACAUCAGAGAAGAGCAAUGGAAAAAGUUUGAGACAUAUUGCAUACAGAUGAAUUUAAGGCUCUGAGUGAAAAAGGAAAGGAAAAUGCAAAGAAUAAUAAGCAUCGCCACCAUCUAGGAUCCAAGAUUUAUGAGAGGGCUCAAGUUGAUUGGAGUAAGACCAAUAUAAUUCCAGCAGAAUCUUCAACCUCAAGCACCACAGAGUCCACGACAAGCUGUGUAAUGAGUGAAAAGCUUAAAAAUCGGUCUCUUUAUUGGAUUUUGGCCCGUCAAACUCGUAAUGCAGAUGGAUCGUGGGCUAUAGACCCGAAGAAUGCCGAAACCCAGCAAAUAGCCAAUGCUAUUUUGAUCUCGCCAAAGCGAAGAAGGGGACGAUAGUUGUGGUGUGAAAUCAAGGCAAUCUACCAUCAAACCCACAAAAUUCCUACCACUUGAAGAUAAAAUUGUCGAUACUUUUGGCGAGG